UGCAUCACUAUAUACCAUUUGUCAGUCGUUAAAAUACUGCCUGGAUCCAUUAAUGGACCGGGACAGAGGG
rfam:Deltaproteobacteria bacterium GWC2_42_11 gwc2_scaffold_1171, whole genome shotgun sequence.